rnacentral:rRNA from 1 species
GCAUAUCAAUAAGCGGAGGAAAAGAAACCAACAGGGAUUGCCCCCAGUAACGGCGAGUGAAGCGGCAACAGCUCAAAAUUUGAAAUCUGGCCCCCGGGUCCGAGUUGUAAUUUGCAGAGGAUGCUUCGGGCGAGGUGCCUUCCGAGUUCCCUGGAACGGGACGCCACAGAGGGUGAGAGCCCCGUCUGGUCGGACACCGAGCCCGUGUGAAGCUCCUUCGAAGAGUCGAGUAGUUUGGGAAUGCUGCUCAAAACGGGAGGUAUAUGUCUUCUAAAGCUAAAUAUUGGCCAGAGACCGAUAGCGCACAAGUAGAGUGAUCGAAAGAUGAAAAGCACUUUGAAAAGAGGGUUAAAAAGUACGUGAAAUUGUUGAAAGGGAAGCGCCCAUGACCAGACUUGGGCCCGGUGAAUCACCCGGCGUUCUCGCCGGUGCACUUUGCCGGGCACAGGCCAGCAUCAGUUUGGCGCGGGGGAGAAAGGCUUCGGGAACGUGGCUCCCUCGGGAGUGUUAUAGCCCGCUGCGCAAUACCCUGCGCCGGACUGAGGUACGCGCAUCGCAAGGAUGCUGGCGUAAUGGUCAUCAGCGACCCGUCUUGAAACACGGACCAAGGAGUCGUCUUCGUAUGCGAGUGUUCGGGUGUCAAACCCCUACGCGGAAUGAAAGUGAACGCAGGUGAGAGCUUCGGCGCAUCAUCGACCGAUCCUGAUGUUCUCGGAUGGAUUUGAGUAAGAGCAUACGGGGCCGGACCCGAAAGAAGGUGAACUAUGCCUGUAUAGGGUGAAGCCAGAGGAAACUCUGGUGGAAGCUCGCAGCGGUUCUGACGUGCGAAUCGAUCGUCAAAUAUGGGCAUGGGGGGCGAAAGACUAAUCGAACCUUCUAGUAGCUGGUUUCCGCCGA